rnacentral:pre_miRNA from 1 species
UUUUCAAUAUAAAUAUGUCUUGUGCAAUAUUUGGGAUAUACUUAUACUAAAA